GACGUAGGGUGCGAGCGUUGUCCGGAUUUAUUGGGCGUAAAGAGCUCGUAGGCGGCUCGUCGCGUCAGCUGUGAAAACCCGCAGCUUAACUGUGGGCUUGCAGCUGAUACGGGCGGGCUGGAGUUCGGUAGGGGAGACUGGAAUUCCUGGUGUAGCGGUGAAAUGCGCAGAUAUCAGGAGGAACACCGGUGGCGAAGGCGGGUCUCUGGGCCGAUACUGACACUGAGGCGCGAAAGCUAGGGGAGCAAACAGG
rnacentral:rRNA from 1 species